rnacentral:tRNA from 2 species
GCCAGCGUAGCUCAGUUGGUAGAGCUACUGAUUUGUAAUCAGUAGGUCGGGGGUUCGAAUCCCUCCGCUGGCU